GUCCGUUGGAAGAUAUAAAUGGUCUGGCCUGCUCACUGAUAUAAAUUAUUUAAGAGCCGCGGUAUAUUGACCGUGCAAAGGUAGCAUAAUCAUUAGGGGUUUAAUUGGAACCUGGUAUGAAGGGUUGGACAAAGGAGAGACUGUCUUUGUAGUAAAAAUUGAAAUUUACUUUUAAGUGAAAAGGCUUAAGUAAAUCGAAGGGACGAUAAGACCCUAUAAAGCUUUAUAAAUUAUUUAUAUUUAAUUGAUUUAAAAAGUAAAAAUUGAGUUUAAUUAUUUUAUUUUAUUGGGGUGAUGUGAGUAUAAUUGUUAUUAACUGCUUAAGAAUAAUACUCUUAUAAGAGAAUUACUAUAGUAUGAUCCUUUUUAGAGAUUAAAAGAAUAAGUUACUUUAGGGAUAACAGCGUUAUUUUUUUUGAGAGUUCAUAUCGAAAAAGAAGAUUGCGACCUCGAUGUUGAAUUAAAAUGUCUUUAUAAUGCAGCCGUUAUAAAAGAAGGUCUGUUCGACCUUUAAAUUUUU
rnacentral:rRNA from 1 species